GAGCCGAAGGCAGUCGCUUAACCAACUGAGCCACCCAGGCGCCCUUAAAUUGCCUUUAAAUGUAUUUUUCUGGUUAAUGUUUUUGGUAUAUUUAACACCCUAUUUAUGUACUCACAUCUCUUUUCAUAUAAAUCUCUUAAGACUAUUGAUUGAAGAAGUCAGAACACUUGCAAAUUAGAAGUCCGUGGUGUCCUUUAAUUUAGUGAAGACUACUGUAUCAUUUGAGCUCAGAAUUUAGCCUCAGUAUGAUGAUGGCAAUGAGAUGAUGAUGGCAACAACUGCUCAUGGCCCUGUUUCAAGCUAUAUGGUUCACACUAAUAUACUGAGUUCUUGCCAUGAGCUCAGCAGGACUUUGCUUGUGAACAGCAACCCGAGCAGUUGGCCAACUGGAGCCUGCUGGAGCCCAGAUAUGCACCUGAGAGAGGAUACCAGAGCAGGCACUGCCCUGCAUUGGCGACCACAACCCCCUGGAAGGAAGCUCUUUAACAGGCAUUCAGCACUUCUGAAUUUGCUACAGUAUCAAAUGGAUUUAAAGGACAAAGAUAAAGUCCUUUGAAAAUGAAGCGAUUGUGCCAAAACCUGUGAAAGGAGCAACUGGGAGGAGAGGUGGGAGGGAAGGCGCCAGGACCAGGUGGUGAUGGAGGGAUCCUUCUGUGCUGCUGGCCCCCAGGAAGGACUACCCCCCAGCUUUCCUAAGGAAGUACACAUGGAGGAACAGACAGGAGUUUUGCAAGACAUUUCCAGAGGGUUCCCGGAGUACCGUCUCCUUCUUCCAGCACAGCCUGAGCCUCUCUGUCUGCGCUGCUGAUGCAGAAAGACCAUGAAUUUUACAGGAGCGAACUUCAUGCACAUUAUCAAGGUAGUGCUUUUUAGUCAAAAAUCAAUGGAUCAGUUAGAGACACACAGAAUACUUCUGAGCCAAACCACAUACCCCCAGCCCUAACGAAACAAGCCUAACAAGAGCUGCCCUGCCAUCUAGUUUGUUAGAGAGUAGCUGGUGAGUGGAGACUUUGCAUGUUAACUUAACCUUAGAGGGAGUUGUACAGAAGUCACUACUAUUGGCAAGGAGUUAACAGGGCCCCAGGCUCUGAUAUGAGGGAACAUUUAGGCAUUGCUAAGUGGCCAGGCCAUUAGUAGAGCUCUACCCUGUCAGUCCCCACCUUCAAGCGCACCUGGGACUUUGCAGCCUGCUAAAGGAAAGGGUCAGGUGAAAAUAACUAAGACAGGAAGCCCUUGAUAAAGAAAAGAGUUUAUUUUAAAAAGCUCUAAUGUUCUGCCCUGUGCUUGGCCCCUGGAUGGAGCUAUGGCUGAGAGUUAGUACCUGUACAGGGCUGAAGGCAGAGAAGGUGCAGGGUCAAAGCUGGGUUUCUGGCGGGUCAGCCCCACCUCACGUAUUGUGCAUUUUUAAGGAGAUGGCAGGCGGUCCAGCUCCUGGUGGUAAGAAAAUGUCGACUCCCAAGAUUCAUGUGUUAACUUUACCCACAAGUUAAGCAGAAGUCAUUUGCCUCUGUCAUGAUUUCCAAACCACAAAGUUUUAAGGGACAGUGGGGUAGCAGCAAAUGGGGCUCAAGUCCUGUGUCGUCAAGCCCACACGUCAUUUAAUAAUCCAAGUAAUAAAUGCCAACUCUUCUGCUCCA